GACGAACGCUGGCGGCGUGCUUAACACAUGCAAGUCGAACGGAAAGGCCCUGCUUUUGUUGGGUGCUCGAUUGGCGAACGGGUGAGUAACACGUGAGUAACCUGCCCUUGACUUUGGGAUAACUUCAGGAAACUGGGGCUAAUACCUGAUAGGAGCUCCUGCUGCAUGGUGGGGGUUGGAAAGUUUCGGCGGUUGGGGAUGGACUCGCGGCUUAUCAGCUUGUUGGUGGGGUAGUGGCUUACCAAGGCUUUGACGGGUAGCCGGCCUGAGAGGGUGACCGGCCAAAUUGGGACUGAGAUACGGCACAGACUCCUACGGGAGGCAGCAGUGGGGAAUAUUGCACAAUGGGCGGAAGCCUGAUGCAGCAACGCCGCGUGCGGGAUGACGGCCUUCGGGUUGUAAACCGCUUUCGCCUGUGACGAAGCGUGAGUGACGGUAAUGGGUAAAGAAGCACCGGCUAACUACGUG
rnacentral:rRNA from 1 species